AUGACUCUCGGCAACGGAUAUCUCGGCUCUUACAUCGAUGAAGAACGUAGCAAAAUGCGAUACUUGGUGUGAAUUGCAGAAUCCCGUGAACCAUCGAGUCUUUGAACGCAAGUUGCGCCCGAAUCCUUCCGGUCGAGGGCACGUCUGCCUGGGUGUCACG
rnacentral:rRNA from 2 species